UGGGGGAUAUUGCACAAUGGAGGAAACUCUGAUGCAGCAACGCCGCGUGAGGGAAGAAGGUUUUCGGAUUGUAAACCUCUGUUUUUAGUGAAGAAACAAAUGACGGUAGCUAAAGAGGAAGCCACGGCUAACUACGUGCCAGCAGCCGCGGUAAUACGUAGGUGGCAAGCGUUGUCCGGAAUUACUGGGCGUAAAGGGUGCGUAGGCGGUUUGGUAAGUUGGAUGUGAAAUACCCGGGCUUAACUUGGGGGCUGCAUCCAAUACUGUCGGACUUGAGUGCAGGAGAGGAAAGCGGAAUUCCUAGUGUAGCGGUGAAAUGCGUAGAUAUUAGGAGGAACACCGGUGGCGAAGGCGGCUUUCUGGACUGUAACUGACGCUGAGGCACGAAAGCGUGGGGAGCAAACAGGAUUAGAUACCCUGGUAGU
rnacentral:rRNA from 1 species